rnacentral:lncRNA from 1 species
UCAAACAGAUCUUUUCCCAUAAUUUGUCAAGUUUGCUUCCUAUUAACAUAUCUGUUGUUAAGUCCACCCACAAAUUUUUGAUAUGGGUUUAGAUCUGCAGCUGUAGCUGGCCAGUUAAUUACCUUCAUAUGUUGAUGCUGUUUAGCCAGUUGUUAGAGCCGUAUGAAUAAGUGACUUAUCCUGCACGAAACAGACCACCACUUCUCUAAACAACAUCCGAGUGAAGGCAUGAGAAAGUUUUCCAAAAAUAUCAAUUUAUAUCAUAGCCAUAAAGUCUCCAUCAAUACAGACUAGCUCAUCUGAUUCAGCAGCUGUCAUCCAUCCCCAUACACCUGUAAUGAUAAAAAUAUUUUAUUAUAAGUAUGCAAAAAUCUCUUUGACAAAGUUUUUAUAUGCAGCUAAUGAAUAUCAACAUUUUAAGAGUCAAUUAUAUAUUGAUAUUAGAAAAAGUAAUGGGUAUCCAAAAUUUGUCCACUUUUACUUGAAAUAUGUGUUGUCUGAUUUGUCUUAUUUGCACAAAAAAUAUAAAAUACACACAUAAUAUAACAAACUCAGAUAAAUGGCAUACUCUAAAGAGCAGUGUUUCUCAACCUUUUUUGGCCUGUGGACUGGUAAAAUUUCUGAAAAAAAUUUCACGGACCGGUGGUUUUUUAACAAAAAAAUUUUAAUAGGUAUUAAAGAAUUACUACAUAAGUUAAUUGUAACAUUUCUAUUAUCAUUUACUUACAAUAAUAUUUAAAUAUAAAAAUAAGUUCG